CCGCGUGUGUGAAGAAGGCCUUCGGGUUGUAAAGCACUUUCGGACGGAACGAAAUCGCGCGAUCUAAUAAGUCGCGUGGAUGACGGUACCGUAAGAAGAAGCACCGGCUAACUACGUGCCAGCAGCCGCGGUAAUACGUAGGGUGCGAGCGUUAAUCGGAAUUACUGGGCGUAAAGUGGGCGCAGGUGGCUGAGCAAGUCGAGUGUGAAAUCCCCGGGCUUAACUUGGGAAUUGCGCUCGAAACUACUUGGCUCGAGUGUGGCAGAGGAAGGUGGAAUUCCAGGUGUAGCGGUGAAAUGCGUAGAGAUCUGGAGGAACACCGAUGGCGAAGGCAGCCUUCUGGGCCAACACUGACGCUCAUGCACGAAAGCGUGGGGAGCAAACAGGAUUAGAUACCCUGGUAGUCCACGCCCUAAACGAUGAUGACUAGUUGUUGGGGGAGUUAAAUCCCUUAGUAACGCAGCUAACGCGUGAAGUCAUCCGCCUGGGGAGUACGGUCGCAAGAUUA
rnacentral:rRNA from 1 species